rnacentral:rRNA from 1 species
CCUACGGGUGGCAGCAGUGAGGAAUAUUGGUCAAUGGGCGUAAGCCUGAACCAGCCAAGCCGCGUGAGGGAUGAAGGUUCUAUGGAUCGUAAACCUCUUUUAUAAAGGGAUAAAGUGUGGGACGUGUCCUAUAUCGUAUGUACCUUAUGAAUAAGCAUCGGCUAACUCCGUGCCAGCAGCCGCGGUAAUACGGAGGAUCCGAGCGUUAUCCGGAUUUAUUGGGUUUAAAGGAUGCGUAGGCGGCCUUUUAAGUCAGCGGUGAAAGGCUGUGGCCCAACCACAGCAGAGCCGUUGAAACUGGCGGUCUUGAGAGUGUGUGAGGCAGGCGGAAUGCGUGGUGUAGCGGUGAAAUGCUUAGAUAUUGCGCAGAACUCCGAUUGCGAAGGCAGCCUGCC